GACGAACGCUGGCGGCGUGCUUAACACAUGCAAGUCGAACGGUGAAGCGAGUGCUUGCACUCGUGGAUCAGUGGCGAACGGGUGAGUAACGCGUGAGUAACCUGCCCAUCACUCUGGGAUAAGCACUGGAAACGGUGUCUAAUACUGGAUACGACCAACCCUUGCAUGGGGUGUUGGUGGAAAGAUUUAUCGGUGAUGGAUGGACUCGCGGCCUAUCAGCUUGUUGGCGGGGUAAUGGCCCACCAAGGCGACGACGGGUAGCCGGCCUGAGAGGGUGACCGGCCACACUGGGACUGAGACACGGCCCAGACUCCUACGGGAGGCAGCAGUGGGGAAUAUUGCACAAUGGGCGAAAGCCUGAUGCAGCGACGCCGCGUGAGGGAUGACGGCCUUCGGGUUGUAAACCUCUUUCAGCAGGGAAGAAGCGAAAGUGACGGUACCUGCAGAAGAAGCACCGGCUAACUACG
rnacentral:rRNA from 1 species